CCAUGAGGAAACACACCCACGUCUCUGAUCACUCUGUCUCGCUGCUUCCAGUUGUGUCUCUAGGAAGGGAUCAAAGGGAACAAGUCCAGCACAACACUAGCGACGUUCCUGAAGAUCAGAUUCAAUAUGCCUCGGUGAAUUUGCCAAGAAGCACCAGGCAUCCACAGCCCCAGAGAGAAGAGACUCCGACGUACGCAACCAUCGUGCUGCAGCAGGACAGGUGUCGUUAAUGCUCCAGUUGCUGAGAUGCAGGACUCAUCAGUGCGCAGCCGCGUCACAGAACCUCCCCAGAUCAGAGGCAACUGUGGGGGACCUUCUCUGGGAGCACAGCAGGACAAUGCCCAGCGCCCAAAGUGCUGUAGGACGUUGGAAUAGGUUUUAGGCAAGUGCUGCCUAUUUGUCUUUUAUGAUAAGUUUCUCAUUAAUAAAAUUUGGAAAA